rnacentral:rRNA from 1 species
CAUCUCGAACGUCGCACACACAUGCGCUCUCUGGUGUUCCGGAGCACUGCCUGUCUAGUGUGUCCU